rnacentral:misc_RNA from 1 species
GUGCAAUGACAGCGAGAUCAGAAGCUACUGCUGUCACACCUGUUACAGGUAUCAACAGGCCAGGUCACGUGCUGGUCAGUGACGUCACAAUCAUUGAGUCCACAGUGUGGUGGAACUCUGUCAUAAGUUAUUAAUGAUUUUUCUUUGACGUUCUUUAAAAUAUUUAUAUGUAAAUGAGAAUUCAUAUAAGUGCUGCCAUUAUACAUUGUACAUUGUUAUAUUUUAAUGUUAUUUACGAUAAUUAGGUGAUAUGAUUUGUUUGUUUCAAAUUUAGAUUUAUGCAAUGAUGAAAGUUCUAACUCUUUCUCUAUCAGUGUUCCGUUGGAAGUAAGAAGCUUAUUUCUUAAUAAUAAAUUAAUCAUAUUAAACAUGUAAAAUAUGUUUGGAAAUGUCAAUAAAAUAUUUUUAAAAAGUU